rnacentral:lncRNA from 1 species
CUCAAAAGAGCCUCAUUACAAAUUUUCUGUCUUUGUGACUGUGAGCAAUAUUUGGUGCGUUUUGAAAAGCUACCGUUAUUCUCGCAUCGCCCUCAUGACGUUACCACUAGUUUCAUUCACUCAGCGCGUGUUUGCUGUGUCUUCUGAGGUGAGUCGAGCAGUUCAGAUAUUUCGCUUGUUUACACAUCCUUAAAAAUGUUUUUUACACAGUUUGUUUAAUCAACAUCCUACGAGGUUCUUUCUAAAUUGUUUUAAUCAGAUAAAACACUAUUUAUGCGCCUGUUCUGGCGUCUGCAGACUGAUUUAGUUCAACAGGAAAGGAACAUCACGGGAAACUAAAGUCAUGCGGACACAAACCAUUGCGUGUAUUUUUAAAGUUUAUGUGAUAAAGAUGUGUUUGUGAGUGAUAAAGAUGUGCGUGUUUUUUCGUGCUUUCAUGGAUAUGAACAUAUUCAUUUAAAGCCUAUAUGGUUAAUGGCAGACAGAAAUGGAGCAGAAAAAAACUGUAAAGAUGCGUGUGAUUAGUUUGUUUUAUCUAUGUCAGUUGUGAGUGGCAAACAAUGCUAUUUUUUUUUAAUAGAGACGUUUUAUAACAUUUAAGGUACUCUGUUCGAACUCUAAUGGUAUUUUCAAGUACGUAUUCUUUUUUUACCACAGACACCUACUAUUACUAUGCCAAUAUAACUAUGCCAAAUAAGCGCACUAAUGUCCACAUAAAAAGCUAAAACCGUGCUGCCGAAUCCCGCGUUUUUUAAUGGAAUUAUCAUUCUUUUUCUAAGGCUCAGUUUUCCUAUAAAUGCCAGAAUAUUCUCAUCAGCCUACAAGUGAAGACAGUUUACUGAAGGACAGUGAGCACAUGACAGAUCCAGAACCCUGCAGAAUGAAACACACUGAAAAACAAACAGGUGAACUCUCUCAGGAGGAGUUUAUGGAGGGCAUUCAGGCUGACGAGGUUCUGUUGAAGAUGUUGACUCAGAGUUUGGAUCUGACUCGUGUAUCGUCAAAAAAAUCUACAGCGAGAUCAACUCUGAGCAGCAGCUGCACUGAUCCCAGACCAGCUGAUGAUGAUGAAGAUGAUGGCUGUUGUGCAGGUUCUGCAGCAGGUCAAUUCGCAGCUAGUUUCUCCUGGUGUAUUUCUCAUCUUAGAAGCUGAACUUUACCAUUGAGUGAGGACGUUUAAACCCUCAACACAUGAGAAAUAUCCAGUAUUUACCGUGUUUUACUGUGUUACUCUCAGCUGGACUGAAAAUCUUAAUGUAAUCUCACAGAAUAACAUUAGUGAUGGAAACUCGAGCAAACCCUGUUUAUUCAAGUGCACUUAUACACUAAAACCUUGAAUCAUUCCUGUAAAAUACAACAUUCUUCAGUCCUGUGAUGUGUGUGUGUGCAUGCAUAUAUAUAUAUAUAUAAGGGGAAUAAUGUUAUUUAUGUAAAAAAUGCAGUAUUAUAUUAUGUAGAGGACAUUUAUAAUGUUAUUGUCAUUUCACACUUGGAUUCUCUUUUGAAAAUAAAACAUGAAACCUG